rnacentral:rRNA from 1 species
AUUGAACGCUGGCGGCAGGCCUAACACAUGCAAGUCGAACGAGUGGCGGACGGGUGCGUCAUGUCUGGGACACUCCCUGAUGGAGGGGGCUAACUACUGGAAACGGUAGCUAAUACCGCAUACCAUCGGAUGUGCCCAGAUGGGAUUAGCUAGUAGGUGGGGUAAAGGCUCACCUAGGCGACGAUCCCUAGCUGGUCUGAGAGGAUGACCAGAGACACUAGAACUGAGAGACGGUCCAGACGACUACGGGAGGCAGCAGGGGGGAAUAAUGCACAAAGGGCGGAAGGCUGAUGCAGCCAUGGCGCGUGUAUGAAGAAGGCGUUCGGGGGGGAAAGUACUUGCAGCGGGGAGGCGUUACCCGCAGAAGAAGCACCGGCGAACUCCGUGCCAGCCGCCGCGGUAAUUC